rnacentral:rRNA from 1 species
GGUGAGUAACACGUGGGAAACCUGCCCAGAAGCGGGGGAUAACACCUGGAAACAGAUGCUAAUACCGCAUAACAACUUGGACCGCAUGGUCCGAGCUUGAAAGAUGGCUUCGGCUAUCACUUUUGGAUGGUCCCGCGGCGUAUUAGCUAGAUGGUGGGGUAACGGCUCACCAUGGCAAUGAUACGUAGCCGACCUGAGAGGGUAAUCGGCCACAUUGGGACUGAGACACGGCCCAAACUCCUACGGGAGGCAGCAGUAGGGAAUCUUCCACAAUGGACGAAAGUCUGAUGGAGCAACGCCGCGUGAGUGAAGAAGGGUUUCGGCUCGUAAAACUCUGUUGUUAAAGAAGAACAUAUCUGAGAGUAACUGUUCAGGUAUUGACGGUAUUUAACCAGAAAGCCACGGCUAACUACGUGCCAGCAGCCGCGGUAAUACGUAGGUGGCAAGCGUUGUCCGGGAUUUAUUGGGCGUAAAGCGAGCGCAGGCGGUUUUUUAAGUCUGAUGUGAAAGCCUUCGGCUCAACCGAAGAAGUGCAUCGGAAACUGGGAAACUUGAGUGCAGAAGAGGACAGUGGAACUCCAUGUGUAGCGGUGAAAUGCGUAGAUAUAUGGAAGAACACCAGUGGCGAAGGCGGCUGUCUGGUCUGUAACUGACGCUGAGGCUCGAAAGUAUGGGUAGCAAACAGGAUUAGAUACCCUGGUAGUCCAUACCGUAAACGAUGAAUGCUAAGUGUUGGAGGGUUUCCGCCCUUCAGUGCUGCAGCUAACGCAUUAAGCAUUCCGCCUGGGGAGUACGGCCGCAAGGCUGAAACUCAAAGGAAUUGACGGGGGCCCGCACAAGCGGUGGAGCAUGUGGUUUAAUUCGAAGCUACGCGAAGAACCUUACCAGGUCUUGACAUACUAUGCAAAUCUAAGAGAUUAGACGUUCCCUUCGGGGACAUGGAUACAGGUGGUGCAUGGUUGUCGUCAGCUCGUGUCGUGAGAUGUUGGGUUAAGUCCCGCAACGAGCGCAACCCUUAUUAUCAGUUGCCAGCAUUAAGUUGGGCACUCUGGUGAGACUGCCGGUGACAAACCGGAGGAAGGUGGGGAUGACGUCAAAUCAUCAUGCCCCUUAUGACCUGGGCUACACACGUGCUACAAUGGAUGGUACAACGAGUUGCGAACUCGCGAGAGUAAGCUAAUCUCUUAAAGCCAUUCUCAGUUCGGAUUGUAGGCUGCAACUCGCCUACAUGAAGUCGGAAUCGCUAGUAAUCGCGGAUCAGCAUGCCGCGGUGAAUACGUUCCCGGGCCUUGUACACACCGCCCGUCACACCAUGAGAGUU